rnacentral:rRNA from 1 species
GACGAACGCUGGCGGCGUGCUUAACACAUGCAAGUCGAACGGAAAGGCCCUGCUUUUGUGGGGUGCUCGAGUGGCGAACGGGUGAGUAACACGUGAGUAACCUGCCCUUGACUUUGGGAUAACUUCAGGAAACUGGGGCUAAUACCGGAUAGGAGCUCCUGCUGCAUGGUGGGGGUUGGAAAGUUUCGGCGGUUGGGGAUGGACUCGCGGCUUAUCAGCUUGUUGGGGGGGUAGUGGCUUACCAAGGCUUUGACGGGUAGCCGGCCUGAGAGGGUGACCGGCCACAUUGGGACUGAGAUACGGCCCAGACUCCUACGGGAGGCAGCAGGGGAGAAUAUUGCACAAUGGGGGGACGCCUGAUGCAGCAACGCCGCGUGCGGGAUGACGGCCUACGGGUUGUAAACCGCUUUCGCCUGUGACGAAGCGUGAGUGACGGUAAUUGGUAAAGAAGCACCGGCUAACUACGUG